rnacentral:rRNA from 1 species
CAGCCGCCGCGGGAAUACGUAGGGUGCGAGCGUUAAUCGGAAUUACUGGGCGUAAAGCGUGCGCAGGCGGUUUUGUAAGACAGGCGUGAAAUCCCCGGGCUCAACCUGGGAAUGGCGCUUGUGACUGCAAAGCUAGAGUGCGGCAGAGGGGGAUGGAAUUCCGCGUGUAGCAGUGAAAUGCGUAGAUAUGUGGAGGAACACCGAUGGCGAAGGCAGCCCCCUGGGCCAAUACUGACGCUCAUGCACGAAAGCGUGGGGAGCAAACAGGAUUAGAUACCCCUGUAGUCCCUGUCUCUUAUAC